GAGGGUAUAGCUCAGUGGUAGAGUGCAUGCCUAGCAUGCACAAGGUCCUAGGUUCAAUCCCCAGUAUCUCCA
rnacentral:tRNA from 1 species